rnacentral:rRNA from 1 species
UACAGAGGAGCCAAGCGUUGUCCGGAUUGACUGGGCGUAAAGCGCACGCAGGCGGACGCGCGCGUGGGGUGUGAAAUCUGGCCGCUUGACGGCCAGGCGCCAUCCCAUACGGCGCGUCUGGAGUGAUGCAGAGGUCGGUGGAAUUGCCGGUGUAGUGGUGAAAUGCGUAGAGAUCGGCAGGAACACCCAGGGGGAAACCAGCCGACUGGGCAUCUACUGACGCUGAGGUGCGAGAGCGUGGGGAGCGAACAGG